rnacentral:rRNA from 1 species
GACGAACGCUGGCGGCGUGCUUAACACAUGCAAGUCGAGCGGAAAGGCCCUUCGGGGUACUCGAGCGGCGAACGGGUGAGUAACACGUGAGCAACCUGCCCUUGGCUUCGGGAUAACUAUCGGAAACGGUGGCUAAUACCGGAUAUGACACACUCUCGCAUGGGAUGUGUGUGGAAAGUUUUUCGGCCAGGGAUGGGCCCGCGGCCUAUCAGCUUGUUGGUGGGGUGAGGCCUACCAAGGCGACGACGGGUAGCCGGCCUGAGAGGGCGACCGGCCACACUGGGACUGAGACACGGCCCAGACUCCUACGGGAGGCAGCAGUGGGGAAUAUUGCGCAAUGGGCGGAAGCCUGACGCAGCGACGCCGCGUGAGGGAUGACGGCCUCGG